rnacentral:lncRNA from 1 species
AUUAUUGCUUUAUCUAUUUAUUUUUGUUCUUUCUUUUAUUUUCUUUAGUUUUUUAAUUCUUUUACCUCUUGUGUUGAUAAUGUCCCUUCUCCCUUUUAUUAUUUUUGUUACCUUUUUUAUUUCUUUAUUUUUUUAGUUUAUUUUAGUAUAUUUUUAGUUUGUGCAUAAUUGUUAAUCCAAAAAGACAAAAUAACUAUUAAAAUUAACCUUUUAAAAAUACUAAAGUCAAAGGUGC